CCUACGGGCGGCAGCAGUGAGGAAUAUUGGUCAAUGGACGCAAGUCUGAACCAGCCAUGCCGCGUGCAGGAAGACGGCUCUAUGAGUUGUAAACUGCUUUUGUACGAGGGUAAACGCAGAUACGCGUAUCUUUCUGAAAGUAUCGUACGAAUAAGGAUCGGCUAACUCCGUGCCAGCAGCCGCGGUAAUACGGAGGAUUCGAGCGUUAUCCGGAUUUAGUGGGUUUAAAGGGUGCGUAGGCCGUCGGAUAAGUCAGUGGUGAAAUGCCGAGGCUCAACUUCGGAAUUGCCUCGGAUACUGGUCGGCUAGAGAGUAGUGGCGGUAGGCGGAAUGUAUGGUGUAGCGGUGAAAUGCUUAGAGAUCAUACAGAACACCGAUUGCGAAGGCAGCUUACCAAGCUACUUCUGACGUUGAGGCACGAAAGCGUGGGGAGCAAACAGGAUUAGAUACCCCUGUAGUC
rnacentral:rRNA from 1 species